UGCACGCAUUACUGGAAGUCGCUUUGGAUAAAAGUGUCUGCUAAAUGGCACAGG
rfam:Salmo salar isolate Sally breed double haploid chromosome ssa17, whole genome shotgun sequence.